GAGGAAUAUUGCGCAAUGGGGGCAACCCUGACGCAGCAACGCCGCGUGAGUGAAGAAGGCCUUCGGGUUGUAAAGCUCUGUCAGGCGGGAAGAAACUUCCACAGGUGAAUAGUCUGUGGAACUGACGGUACCGCCAAAGGAAGCACCGGCUAACUCCGUGCCAGCAGCCGCGGUAAGACGGAGGGUGCAAGCGUUGUUCGGAAUCACUGGGCGUAAAGCGCGUGUAGGCGGUUUGGUAAGUCGAGUGUGAAAUCCCGAGGCUUAACCUCGGAAGUGCACUCGAAACUGUCAGGCUUGAGUACGGGAGAGGGAAGUGGAAUUCCUGGUGUAGAGGUGAAAUUCGUAGAUAUCAGGAGGAACACCGGUGGCGAAGGCGGCUUCCUGGACCGAUACUGACGCUGAGACGCGAAAGCGUGGGGAGCAAAC
rnacentral:rRNA from 1 species